UNGUUAUUUCAGUCCUGCUUUCCCUUUU
rnacentral:piRNA from 1 species